rnacentral:rRNA from 1 species
GACAGAGGUGCCGAGCGUUAGGCGGAAUCACUGGGCUUAAAGCGUGUGUAGGCGGGUCGUUAAGUGUCUUGUGAAAUCCCACCGCUCACCGGUGGAACGGCUGGGCAUACUGGCGACCUUGAGAGGCCUAGGGGCAGACGGAACAAGCGGUGGAGCGGUGAAAUGCGUAGAUAUCGCUUGGAACGCCGACGGCGAAAGCAGUCUGCUGGGGGCCUUCUGGACGCUGAGACGACGAAAGCCAGGGGAGCGGAACGGGAUUAAGAAACCCCGAGUACGUC